rnacentral:rRNA from 1 species
UACGUAGGGGGCUAGCGUUGCUCGGAAUCACUGGGCGUAAAGGGUGCGUAGGCGGGUCUUUAAGUCAGGGGUGAAAUCCUGGAGCUCAACUCCAGAACUGCCUUUGAUACUGAAGAUCUUGAGUUCGGGAGAGGUGAGUGGAACUGCGAGUGUAGAGGUGAAAUUCGUAGAUAUUCGCAAGAACACCAGUGGCGAAGGCGGCUCACUGGCCCGAUACUGACGCUGAGGCACGAAAGCGUGGGGAUCAAACAGG